rnacentral:rRNA from 1 species
UGGGGCUAAUACCGGAUGUUCACCGGCUGCCGCAUGGUGGUGGUGGAAAGGGUUUCCGGCUGGGGAUGGGCCCGCGGCCUAUCAGCUUGUUGGUGGGGUAGUGGCCUACCAAGGCGACGACGGGUAGCCGGCCUGAGAGGGUGACCGGCCACACUGGGACUGAGACACGGCCCAGACUCCUACGGGAGGCAGCAGUGGGGAAUAUUGCGCAAUGGGCGGAAGCCUGACGCAGCGACGCCGCGUGGGGGAUGACGGCCUUCGGGUUGUAAACCUCUUUCAGCAGGGACGAAGCGGAAGUGACGGUACCUGCAGAAGAAGCACCGGCCAACUACGUGCCAGCAGCCGCGGUAAUACGUAGGGUGCAAGCGUUGUCCGGAAUUAUUGGGCGUAAAGAGCUCGUAGGCGGUUCGUCGCGUCGGCUGUGAAAACCUGAGGCUCAACCUCAGGCCUGCAGUCGAUACGGGCGGACUCGAGUUCGGCAGGGGAGACUGGAAUUCCUGGUGUAGCGGUGAAAUGCGCAGAUAUCAGGAGGAACACCGGUGGC